rnacentral:miRNA from 2 species
GUUCUCCCGAACACUUCAUUG